rnacentral:tRNA from 1 species
GGGGAUUUGGCUCAGUGGUAGAGCGUUUGCCUAGCAAGCGCAAGGCCCUGGGUUCAGUCCCCA